AGGGAAGAGUAUUCAAAGCAGAAGGGCACGUGAAAGGUCCUGAGACACGAGUGUCGCCAAAGGUUUGGAAGAGCCCAGGCAGGCUGGGAGCUGGAUCAAGGUGGAUGAGUAGUCUGGAAGCCACGAUUAGGAACCAGGAGAUCUCCGUCCGUCCUCGGAGCUCGGGAAUGACCGGAAUUCUGUCAGGCCUGAGGUUCGUGUUUAGGCGUAUUGCAUCAGGACCUUCUUGACUGGGGGUGAUCUGCUCUCACAACUGGAAACGGACAAGGAAAACCUUCUGAACAAAGAAAUGCAAUUAUUACCUGGUUCGUUGUCGGGAAGCCACAACUACCCAAGUAAGGAGCUGACUUCCGUCACGUGGAAGCUGGUGUUCGCCAACGCCGUCUGGGGGAUGGGCCCCAGACCUGGAAGGCGACAGAACCGGGGGAAAAGUGCUCCCUGUUUCUCAAAAAGCGAAGAAAGUUAGAAGAUAAAAUACAGUAAAACCUUGGGUUGUGAGGAACUUGUUCUGCAAGAUGAGCCAACAUUUCCAAUAAAUUUUAACUUGAUAAAUGA